rnacentral:rRNA from 1 species
GACGAACGCUGGCGGCGUGCUUAACACAUGCAAGUCGAACGGAAAGGCCCUGCUUGCAGGGUACUCGAGUGGCGAACGGGUGAGUAACACGUGGGUGAUCUGCCCUGCACUUCGGGAUAAGCCUGGGAAACUGGGUCUAAUACCGGAUAGGAGCCAUUUUUAGUGUGAUGGUUGGAAAGUUUUUUCGGUGUAGGAUGAGCUCGCGGCCUAUCAGCUUGUUGGUGGGGUAAUGGCCUACCAAGGCGGCGGCGGGUAGCCGGCCUGAGAGGGUGGAAGGCCACCAUGGGGACGAGGGAAGGCCCAGGCUGCCAAGGGGGGGAGCAGUGGGGAAUAUUGCACCAUGGGCGGAAGGCUGAUGAAGCGACGCCGCGGGGGGGAUGACGGCCUUCGGGUUGUAAACUCCUUUCGCUAGGGACGAAGCUUUUUGUGACGGUACCUAGAUAAGAAGCACCGGCUAACUACGUG